rnacentral:tRNA from 1 species
GUUGUGUCUAGCUGGGGUUAUAUUAGGUCUGAAAAACCUGGGGUCGGCAGUUCGAUUCUGCCCCUGGCCACCA